UAGCUCAGUUGGUAGAGCAUGGUGUUUGCAACGCCAGGGUUGUGGGUUCCAUUCCCAC
rfam:Salmo salar isolate Sally breed double haploid chromosome ssa17, whole genome shotgun sequence.